AAAAAAGGUAAGCUACUAAGAGCGAAUGGUGGAUGCCUUGACUGGUAAAGGCGAUGAAGGACGUACUAGACUGCGAUAAGCUACGGGGAGCUGUCAAGAAGCUUUGAUCCGUAGAUUUCCGAAUGGGGCAACCCAAUGUAUAGAGAUAUACAUUACCUAUAUAGGAGCGAACGAGGGGAAUUGAAACAUCUUAGUACCCUCAGGAAAAGAAAUCAAUAGAGAUUGCGUCAGUAGCGGCGAGCGAAAGCGCAAGAGGGCAAACCCAGUGCUUGCACUGGGGGUUGUAGGACUGCAAUGUGCAAGAGGUGAGUUUAGCAGAACAUUCUGGAAAGUAUAGCCAUAGAGGGUGAUAGUCCCGUAUGCGAAAAACAAACCUUAGCUAGCAGUAUCCUGAGUAGGGCGGGACACGAGAAAUCCUGUCUGAAGCUGGGUCGACCACGAUCCAACCCUAAAUACUAAUACCAGAUCGAUAGUGCACAAGUACCGUGAGGGAAAGGUGAAAAGAACUGAGGUGAUCAGAGUGAAAUAGAACCUGAAACCAUUUGCUUACAAUCAUUCAGAGCCCUAUGUAGCAAUACAGGGUGAUGGACUGCCUUUUGCAUAAUGAGCCUGCGAGUUGUGGUGUCUGGCAAGGUUAAGCAAACGCGAAGCCGUAGCGAAAGCGAGUCUGAAUAGGGCGCUUAGUCAGAUGCUGCAGACCCGAAACGAAGUGAUCUAUCCAUGAGCAAGUUGAAGCUAGUGUAAGAACUAGUGGAGGACUGAACCCAUAGGCGUUGAAAAGCCCCGGGAUGACUUGUGGAUAGGGGUGAAAGGCCAAUCAAACUUCGUGAUAGCUGGUUCUCUCCGAAAUAUAUUUAGGUAUAGCGUUGUGUCGUAAUAUAAGGGGGUAGAGCACUGAAUGGGCUAGGGCAUACACCAAUGUACCAAACCCUAUCAAACUCCGAAUACCUUAUAU
rnacentral:rRNA from 1 species